rnacentral:rRNA from 1 species
GACGAACGCUGGCGGCGUGCUUAACACAUGCAAGUCGAACGGAAAGGCCCUGCUUUUGUGGGGUGCUCGAGUGGCGAACGGGUGAGUAACACGUGAGUAACCGGCCCUUGACUUUGGGAUAACGUCAGGAAACUGGGGCUAAUACCGGAUAGGAGCUCCUGCUGCAGGGUGGGGGUUGGAAAGUUUCGGCGGUUGGGGAUGGACUCGCGGCUUAUCAGCUUGUUGGUGGGGUAGUGGCUUACCAAGGCUUCGACGGGUAGCCGGCCUGAGAGGGUGACCGGCCACAUUGGGACUGGGGUACGGCCCAGACUCCUACGGGAGGCAGCAGUGGGAAAUAUUGCGCAAUGGGCGGCAGCCUGAUGCAGCAACGCCGCGUGCGGGAUGACGGCCUUCGGGUUGUAACCCGCUUUCGCCUGUGACGAAGCGUGAGUGACGGUAAUGGGUAAAGAAGCACCGGCUAACUACGUG